ensembl:piRNA 21ur-2923 ncRNA
UGCUAUUGUCUUUAAUACAAU